GAGGCGGGCGGAGGGUCCGGCUUGCCGAUCUGCGAGCAGGUUUGCGCCAGCAGCGCCAGAGGGCUUUUCUUGGCGUCCAGCUGGGGAAGGCAAGGCAAGGAAGGAGACAGAGGCUGGUUAGACCACGCAGAGCUGGACGCGUCGGGAGGAACUGCGCCCCCACCCCCAAUGCAACACCCACCCAAAGGACAGGCAACGACUCGGAAAGGCCCCCGGGGCGCACGGCGGAGAUCCCGCAAACGGUGCCCCCUUCCCGGCCCUAGUUGCAAAAACACUCCUGCCCCGACUCCCCUACUAUUUUAGGCUACCCCCCUUCUUUUUAGGAGCGCCACCCUUACGGAAAUUCCCUCCGGCGGAACCGGACGGAAGUUUCCCCUCCUGCAAACCCCACAGACGAGCAGAUCCGGCCCCGGUUGGUUCACUCUCCAGACGGGCGCUCGGCUCAUGGAGGGUCCGAACCCGGGUGAAAGAUUCUCCCAGGAACCGAGAGACAAGCAGCCUCGGCGAUUCACACCCGCUGUCUAUCCCCCCCCCGCUCCUUCCCACCCCGAUGGAUCCCGCGAUCACCCGCCUUUGAUCCACAAAGGCUCCGGGCGCGCGCAACGAUCGUUGCCAAAGCCCACGAACCUUGCCUCGCAAAGUUCGGCCCGGGAGAUCGAGGAACGAACAAGCGAUUCCUCCGCCGUCGGAAUUUGUGUUAAAAUCACAGAACUCAAAUAACUCUCUUUGCUUGGGACUCUAUUUAAAAGGAAAGUCCGGGCGAGGAUUUUCUCCCGUCCGGCUCCACAAAUUCAGAGAGAGGGAGAACAGACGGACUUCUAGUCCAAGCCAGGGCGAGAGAUCAGGGUGGGGCUCCCCAAGGGACCGCGGACCGACGCGAGGGAAGCGGGGCGCAGCUCUGGAGGGACGCAGCGACGGCGUGGAAUUUGCCAAUGGAACACCACACGGCAAUUGUUGGCUGAGCGGCUGGGCAGGAUGGAGAUGAAAAGGCUUCCAGGAGAGCUUUCCUGACUCUUGUCUCUUCAGCAGCUGGAACAGGGAUGAGAUGAUAGCUGGUGAUGUAAGAGGAUUCCAGAGCAAUGAGAAAACGAAUGGUGGAGCUGGCCCAAGACGUUUUGAUGCCUGAAGCGAAGCACCAAAUUAUACCCUCCCUAUGGUAGAGAGGUGGUGGACAAAAUGUAAACAGUCUUGUUGCACUAGUUCAGAUGUAGCUUCUUGACUUUAUGUAUUCCCCUAAAUUCUGGCUCCUGAAACAGAAUGCUUCACCAUAGCAGAACUGACACAGUGGGAUAUGAAGAAGUUUCAUCAAAUGUGAUCAAAGGCUCAUCUGACAAUCCCCUUUCAACAAUAAAAUAUGGACACAAUCGAAAGCGUUUGAUAGAUGGUUUUAAAUCUUAGGCUAUUACAUAUUUCUUCAGUCAUGAGUUGCGCUAGCCACUGCCAGAGGUUGGAUACUGGGUUUCGGGGCAGCUUUAUGACAUUUGGCAUAUCAGACAAGAAAUGUAUUUGGGAGUUUCUGGGCUGUCAGAGUUCCUAAGAUAUUGCACCCCAUUUUGUGUACGUGUGUGUGUUUCCUAUUGCCAAAAAAUCCUCUAGCCAACUUGCUCUUCCAAUGUGGUUUAUUUUAGCUGACUACUUUAUUCCAAAGUCCCUUCACUAUCUGAGACUUUAUUUUGCUGAAAGCAUCCAAAUGUAUAAGAAUAAUUAAAGCACCCUUGUUUUGAUGGCUCUCAGGGACAUUUUUCUUAAUGAAUAAGAGUGUCCAAAGCUGGCAAUCAAGAGGAAAGGUAGUGAAACAAUGACCAGGGACUGUCGCUACUUUAUUGGCAAGAAAGCUGCCAGCUCAAGGUAGUUUCAGCAGCAACAAACUGUCAUCAGGAGAUCAAAGAUGAUGAUGAAUGCUGUUCAACAGACUAUUAUGGGGAAUUAUUAUUUCUGAUGAUUCCUUCCUUUUAAACAUACACUCUGCUUCUGCUAUCCUGAGCACAGCACUAACUAUAUGGGCAAUUCAUCCAGUAACCUCAUUGGUGGAGCAUCUGAUGCAGAGAAAGAUACGUAUAAGGCGGCUCACCCUUUCCGUGCUGCAGUAUUGCAGGGUGGAGGAGGGAAUUCAAGCCGGCUGUGCCCUUCCAGAUUGGUGGAGAGGGCAUAAGCCCCACCCGCCCAUCAGGAACUGUAUCCUGGCCUGCUCCCUGGGGAUGCAGGCCAGGGCUUGGACUGUGCCAGGGGCGGAGCCAACACAGUCAAUGGUGGGCUUCCCUCAGAUCCGCCCCUUGCCCAUUUAAGCAGCCAGCACCUGGGGGCUCAGCCUGUUUGUUCCUGCGCCGGGUUUCCCUGCCCACCUACCCUGGGUUUAAGCUGAUAGUCAGUGAUUUUCCUGUGGCUACAGUGGUUGCCAUCCUUCAAGGGGCCGGGUAGGAAUUUUCCCACUGGGCUAAUUGGCACUGACCUGGUGGUUUUGCCUACUGGAUAGCAAUCAUCACAACUGGUUGGGCAUUGGGGCAAUCCUUUGUUUUGGAUGGAGGGGAGGUUGUAGUCUCUGCCUGCCCCUCCAAACGCUGGGGUAUCCCAUGAAAGGGAUCUGGGGGGAAUGGUUAUGUCUGUGUGCCCAGGCGGGGGCCAGGGCUGAAGGCACUCCCCCAGAUGGCGGUCCCUGUGGGGGGGUCACCCUAUUGGAUGUAAGUUUUAGGAGCCCCCACCUGGAUCGACCACGCGUCCCUUCUGGCAGGUGGGCUGGAAGUAUUUUGAUUGCCCCAUGCCCAAGCCAAACCUCUUUCAUCCGUAUCAAUCAA